AGCGUACACGGUGGAUGCCCUGGCAGUCAGAGGCGAUGAAGGACGUGCUAAUCUGCGAUAAGCGUCGGUAAGGUGAUAUGAACCGUUAUAACCGGCGAUUUCCGAAUGGGGAAACCCAGUGUGUUUCGACACACUAUCAUUAACUGAAUCCAUAGGUUAAUGAGGCGAACCGGGGGAACUGAAACAUCUAAGUACCCCGAGGAAAAGAAAUCAACCGAGAUUCCCCCAGUAGCGGCGAGCGAACGGGGAGCAGCCCAGAGCCUGAAUCAGUGUGUGUGUUAGUGGAAGCGUCUGGAAAGGCGCGCGAUACAGGGUGACAGCCCCGUACACAAAAAUGCACAUGCUGUGAGCUCGAUGAGUAGGGCGGGACACGUGGUAUCCUGUCUGAAUAUGGGGGGACCAUCCUCCAAGGCUAAAUACUCCUGACUGACCGAUAGUGAACCAGUACCGUGAGGGAAAGGCGAAAAGAACCCCGGCGAGGGGAGUGAAAAAGAACCUGAAACCGUGUACGUACAAGCAGUGGGAGCACGCUUAGGCGUGUGACUGCGUACCUUUUGUAUAAUGGGUCAGCGACUUAUAUUCUGUAGCAAGGUUAACCGAAUAGGGGAGCCGAAGGGAAACCGAGUCUUAACUGGGCGUUAAGUUGCAGGGUAUAGACCCGAAACCCGGUGAUCUAGCCAUGGGCAGGUUGAAGGUUGGGUAACACUAACUGGAGGACCGAACCGACUAAUGUUGAAAAAUUAGCGGAUGACUUGUGGCUGGGGGUGAAAGGCCAAUCAAACCGGGAGAUAGCUGGUUCUCCCCGAAAGCUAUUUAGGUAGCGCCUCGUGAAUUCAUCUCCGGGGGUAGAGCACUGUUUCGGCAAGGGGGUCAUCCCGACUUACCAACCCGAUGCAAACUGCGAAUACCGGAGAAUGUUAUCACGGGAGACACACGGCGGGUGCUAACGUCCGUCGUGAAGAGGGAAACAACCCAGACCGCCAGCUAAGGUCCCAAAGUCAUGGUUAAGUGGGAAACGAUGUGGGAAGGCCCAGACAGCCAGGAUGUUGGCUUAGAAGCAGCCAUCAUUUAAAGAAAGCGUAAUAGCUCACUGGUCGAGUCGGCCUGCGCGGAAGAUGUAACGGGGCUAAACCAUGCACCGAAGCUGCGGCAGCGACGCUUAUGCGUUGUUGGGUAGGGGAGCGUUCUGUAAGCCUGUGAAGGUGUACUGUGAGGUAUGCUGGAGGUAUCAGAAGUGCGAAUGCUGACAUAAGUAACGAUAAAGCGGGUGAAAAGCCCGCUCGCCGGAAGACCAAGGGUUCCUGUCCAACGUUAAUCGGGGCAGGGUGAGUCGACCCCUAAGGCGAGGCCGAAAGGCGUAGUCGAUGGGAAACAGGUUAAUAUUCCUGUACUUGGUGUUACUGCGAAGGGGGGACGGAGAAGGCUAUGUUUGCCGGGCGACGGUUGUCCCGGUUUAAGCGUGUAGGCUGGUUUUCCAGGCAAAUCCGGAAAAUCAAGGCUGAGGCGUGAUGACGAGGCACUACGGUGCUGAAGCAACAAAUGCCCUGCUUCCAGGAAAAGCCUCUAAGCAUCAGGUAACAUCAAAUCGUACCCCAAACCGACACAGGUGGUCAGGUAGAGAAUACCAAGGCGCUUGAGAGAACUCGGGUGAAGGAACUAGGCAAAAUGGUGCCGUAACUUCGGGAGAAGGCACGCUGAUAUGUAGGUGAAGCGACUUGCUCGUGGAGCUGAAAUCAGUCGAAGAUACCAGCUGGCUGCAACUGUUUAUUAAAAACACAGCACUGUGCAAACACGAAAGUGGACGUAUACGGUGUGACGCCUGCCCGGUGCCGGAAGGUUAAUUGAUGGGGUCAGCGCAAGCGAAGCUCUUGAUCGAAGCCCCGGUAAACGGCGGCCGUAACUAUAACGGUCCUAAGGUAGCGAAAUUCCUUGUCGGGUAAGUUCCGACCUGCACGAAUGGCGUAAUGAUGGCCAGGCUGUCUCCACCCGAGACUCAGUGAAAUUGAACUCGCUGUGAAGAUGCAGUGUACCCGCGGCAAGACGGAAAGACCCCGUGAACCUUUACUAUAGCUUGACACUGAACAUUGAGCCUUGAUGUGUAGGAUAGGUGGGAGGCUUAGAAGUGUGGACGCCAGUCUGCAUGGAGCCGACCUUGAAAUACCACCCUUUAAUGUUUGAUGUUCUAACGUUGACCCGUAAUCCGGGUUGCGGACAGUGUCUGGUGGGUAGUUUGACUGGGGCGGUCUCCUCCUAAAGAGUAACGGAGGAGCACGAAGGUUGGCUAAUCCUGGUCGGACAUCAGGAGGUUAGUGCAAUGGCAUAAGCCAGCUUGACUGCGAGCGUGACGGCGCGAGCAGGUGCGAAAGCAGGUCAUAGUGAUCCGGUGGUUCUGAAUGGAAGGGCCAUCGCUCAACGGAUAAAAGGUACUCCGGGGAUAACAGGCUGAUACCGCCCAAGAGUUCAUAUCGACGGCGGUGUUUGGCACCUCGAUGUCGGCUCAUCACAUCCUGGGGCUGAAGUAGGUCCCAAGGGUAUGGCUGUUCGCCAUUUAAAGUGGUACGCGAGCUGGGUUUAGAACGUCGUGAGACAGUUCGGUCCCUAUCUGCCGUGGGCGCUGGAGAACUGAGGGGGGCUGCUCCUAGUACGAGAGGACCGGAGUGGACGCAUCACUGGUGUUCGGGUUGUCAUGCCAAUGGCACUGCCCGGUAGCUAAAUGCGGAAGAGAUAAGUGCUGAAAGCAUCUAAGCACGAAACUUGCCCCGAGAUGAGUUCU
rnacentral:rRNA from 1 species